rnacentral:rRNA from 1 species
GAUGAACGCUGGCGGCGUGCUUAAUACAUGCAAGUCGAGCGGAAAGGCCCUUCGGGGUACUCGAGCGGCGGACGGGUGAGUAACGCGUAAGAAUGUACCCCAAAGUGAGGAAUAACUGCUCGAAAGAGUAGCUAAUGCCGCAUGUGCUCUUCGGAGGAAAGCUUUAUGCGCUUUGGGAACAGCUUGCGUCUGAUUAGCUAGUUGGUAAGGUAACGGCUUACCAAGGCGACGAUCAGUAGCUGGUCUGAGAGGAUGACCAGCCACACUGGGACUGAGACACGGCCCAGACUCCUACGGGAGGCAGCAGUAGGGAAUUUUCCACAAUGGGCGAGAGCCUGAUGGAGCAACGCCGCGUGCUAGAUGAAGGCCUUCGGGUCGUAAAUAGCUUUUGUCUGUGACGAGUAUGACGGUAGCAGACGAAUAAGGAUCGGCUAACUACGUGCCAGCAGCCGCAGUAA